rnacentral:rRNA from 1 species
GACCCCAGGUCAGGCGGGGGCACCCGCCGAGCUUAAGCAUAUCAAUAAGCGGAGGAGAGGAAACUUACGAGGAUUUCCCUAGUAACGGCGAGCGAACCGGGACCAGCCCAGCU